rnacentral:lncRNA from 1 species
UACCCUAAAUAUGCACCUCUUGUUAUAUCAGGAAUACUUAUUAACAAAGUAACAGGAAAUUAUGUUUUGAAGAGAGCCAUUCUCUAAUGUGAUUUUUAUCCACGCAUCUGCAUAGAUAUUUCUUGCAUCUUCAAGAGCCACAUAGGUCUUGACGGAUUCAUGGGCUGAGGGAGAAGAUCCCCUGGGUUCUUCUUCGGGUUGGCAGUCCUCUUGCACUGGCACAGAGAAUUGUAUUUCCACAGAAGGAUUUCUUGUCAAGUUCCAGAUGUGCUUGAGGAGCGUGCUGAGAGAAAUGGCCUGGUUCAGAAUGGCUGAAUGAGGAUAUGUCAUAUGCAGAAGUGUUACAGGGACUGAAAAUGAGCCAGCUGCUCUCCCCAUCACCCACUCUUGAAGUGCUAGGAUUAUUUCCUCACUAUAAAGAAACUUGCCUGCUUAAUCCUAUUGAACAUACUCAGUCAUCAAUAAAUGUGAAGAAUGUGUCAAAGACCUAGUAAAUUUUAUGGCACCCUUUGCCAUUCAACAAUGGGAAUUCAACUGAAGGUUGUGUGAAGAAUAAAUUAAACCAAGAUGCUCUGGCUUGCUUUUUA